GAACGCUGGCGGCGUGCCUAACACAUGCAAGUUGAACGAAGCAUACUUAUGGAAUCUUCGGAAGGAAGCAGGUAUGACUUAGUGGCGGACGGGUGAGUAACGCGUGGGCAACCUGCCCUGUACAGGGGGACAACAGCCGGAAACAGCUGCUAAUACCCCAUAAGCGCACGAUACCGCAUGGUAAAGUGUGAAAAGCCGAGACGGUACAGGAUGGGCCCGCGUCUGAUUAGCUUGUUGGCAGGGCAACGGCCUACCAAGGCGACGAUCAGUAGCCGGCCUGAGAGGGUGGACGGCCACAUUGGAACUGAGACACGGUCCAAACUCCUGCGGGAGGCAGCAGUGGGGAAUAUUGCACAAUGGGGGAAACCCUGAUGCAGCAACGCCGCGUGAGUGAAGAAGGUUUUCGGAUUGUAAAGCUCUGUUAGCAGGGAAGAGGAAGGACGGUACCUGCAGAGGAAGCCACGGCUAACUACGUGCCAGCAGCCGCGGUAAUACGUAGGUGGCAAGCGUUGUUCGGAAUAACUGGGCGUAAAGGAUGCGUAGGCGGUUAAAUAAGUUAUAUGUUAAAUAUAUAGGCUUAACCUGUAGAAAGCAUAUAAAACUGUUUAACUAGAGUGCAGGAGAGGUAAGUGGAAUUCCUAGUGUAGCGGUGAAAUGCGUAGAGAUUAGGAAGAACACCAGUGGCGAAGGCGACUUACUGGACUGUAACUGACGCUGAGGCA
rnacentral:rRNA from 1 species